GUGUAUAAGGGACACUGUGAUACACUUGAAGCCCACAGAUUUACAGAAGGAAUUGCUUAAGAGAAUUCCAGAGCAUCCAGGCUCUUUUUACGAACAAAAUUUGUUGUCUCUGAUAUCCGUUCAUCCAUCAUUAGUAGCGAAGAGGAAUGAGUUCUCUGACUUUCUCUGACUUAGAAAGUCAGCUAAAAGAAAAAGAAUGUCACUUGGAUCCAUAUACUAGAGUAAAAAUGAAAUUUGUGGUUGAACUAAUCAAGCUCUGUGGUGGGUUGAAGGAGAGGGCUAUAAUAUUCAGCCAGUUACUUGCUCCUCUAAACAUGAUAAAGGAGCAACUUAAUUCUCUCUUUGGCUGGACAUAAGGGCGAGAGAUUCUCUAUAUGAAUGGGACACUUGAUGUAAAGCAGCGGCAGAUAUCGAUAAACUCUCUUAAUGACCCGAAGAGUGAUGCGAAAGUCCUCCUUGCAUCAAUAAAACCUGCUCAGAAGGAAUUAGUCUUAUAGGGGCCUCAAGAGUGGUUUUGCUUUACGUUCUCUGGAAUCCCUCAGUAGAACAACAAGCCAUCAGUCGAGCCUACAGGAAUGGUCAGACUAAAUUUGUGCAUGUUUACUGUCCGGUGACAUCAAAAUGGGAGGUUGACAAGAUCGAACAGCAGACGAGAAAAAAGUAUCAUUCGAAUAUACUCUUGUCUAGGAAUGAAGUGACUCUUUGCAAGACGAAUUCUGUGUCGGGGGAUAACAUACUAGAUGCCAUGGUUCAGCAUGAGAGCCUCCGUCAUAUGUUUGAAAAACUAUCUCAUGCACCCCGUGUGGUUCCUACGGCAUGCUUUAACUCCUGUAACCAACCUUCAGAACCGAGCAGUUAGAUCAUUUGGAGCUUUUUUUGGGCCGCGAAUGAAGCCAAUCCUUCUGUGAGGUGCUUCAUGACAGGGCUCCGUUUCAAGGUUUGAAUGUGGUGAUGCCAAAAACUUGAACCAUGAUGAAUUGGAGAAGAUCCGGGGGUUUAUAGAUGACAGUGAAGGAAUGCGGGAGGUUACUGUCAAAACAUGGGAUUAUAGAAAUAGAAAUGAAGUCAAAAGUUGCUAAUUUUAACUGUCACUGAAAUGGUCAAAGGAUGGUAUUAGUUACAGUUCUAAGUUUCUGAAGGUACCUUAUCUAAGGAGCUGUGCUCUGCAAUUUACUGUGAGAUCUGUAGAGUGCUUAAAACAUUGUAACUCAGUAAGUUUCAAAUGUGGCCAACUGGUGAGUUUGGGUUUUUCACAGCAUAAAGG